UUUUUUUUUUAAUUUUUUAAAAAUUGAAAAAUAGAAUUUCGUAUUCUUCCUUUAGCAGAUUGUUGAUGUUAAGAAAAAAUCAAUACUAAUUAGCUUUAUCUUAAUAGUAUUAGAAACAUUUUUAAUAUUAUAAAAUAUUAACAAUAACUGAAAGCAUUGUAUCAUAAGUGUAUUUUAUUAGCUAUAACCGAAUAUAUAUGACAUUAGAAUUUCACAUUAGAAAAGAAAAACAAAAGAGAAAAAAAUAAGGAGAGAAAAUAGAAAGAGAGAGGACAGAGGAGAGGGGA
rnacentral:misc_RNA from 1 species